UAUCUUGUUUAAAUAAAUUAUAAUCACAAAGUGCCCAGUGUGAUUGCAAAGCCACACUGCAUUUUAGUCAUUAUUUCAACCUGUUUUAUUAUUGAAUGUAUGCAUAUAAAUGUAAAACAGAUACAUAUCCGGUCACCAUUUAGGUCUGAGUUGGAUGUAAUUUCAAAAACUGUGCUUCCAAUAUUAUUUUAAGAAAUAUAUUACAAAAUCCCGCGAUAGGACAGAUCUCGCGAGAUAGUGGUCACGUCACGCGUUCUUCCGGAAGUUCACAUUCAAACACGAGGAGCGAUUACGAUGGAGUUUUGUCUAUAUAUCAUUCAAAAUCUACUGUUGGGAAAAGCAGAACCUCAUCCAAAUAAAAAUAAACAAGCUGUUAAAGGCACUGUGUCCUACACAGACCCUCCAAAAUAUAACCACCCAAAACCCAAGUCAGUUGAAGGUCAACACAAACCAAAUAAAGAUGUGCAUUCUACAAACAAAAAAAAAGAUCAAGUUUUGUGUCCACCACACUUAGAUGAGGCGUGCCCGACCCCUGACUUUGUCUACCCUACAUUAAGUUGCACACUUCAUGACAGUAAACAUCGGUAUCACAAUGGUGUGAUUGAUCUAGCAGUGACACUAUGAGACGUACGUGCUACUGAUGCUUUUUUUCGGGUCACAUAAUGAACAGCCAUCUUACAGACAAUCGAAAGAGGCA